GGCCAGCAGCCGCGGUAAGACGAAGGAUGCAAGCGUUAUCCGGAUUCAUUGGGUUUAAAGGGAGCGUAGGUGGCCUUAUAAGUCAGUGGUGAAAUCUCUCGGCUUAACCGAGAAAUUGCCAUUGAUACUGUAGGGCUUGAGUAUAGUUGCCGUUGGCGGAAUAUGACAUGUAGUGGUGAAAUACAUAGAGAUGUCAUAGAACACCGAUUGCGAAGGCAGCUAACGAAACUAUAACUGACACUGAGGCUCGAAAGUGCGGGGAUCAAACAGGAUUAGAUACCCUGGUAGUCCGCACUGUAAACGAUGAUUACUCGCUGCUAGAUGGUAACAUUUAGUGGCUUAGCGAAAGCGAUAAGUAAUCCACCUGGGGAGUACGCCGGCAACGGUGAAACUCAAAGGAAUUGACGGGGGCCCGCACAAGGC
rnacentral:rRNA from 1 species